rnacentral:rRNA from 1 species
UACGAGUGGCUCAAGCGUUAUCCGGAAUUAUUGGGCGUAAAGGAUGUGUAGGUGGUUAUGUUAGUCGGAUGUCCAACCUCUCGGGCUUUACCUGGAGAUAGCAUUCGAAACGGCAUGACUAGAGUUCGGUAGGGGAGACUGGAAUUCCUGGUGUAGCGGUGAAAUGCGCAGAUAUCGGGGAGGAACACCGGUGGCGAAGGCGGUUCUCUGGGCCGUAACUGGACGCUGAGGAGCGAAAGCGUGGGGAGCGAACAGG